UCGUCACACUAUCAUUAACUGAAUCCAUAGGUUAAUGAGGCGAACCGGGGGAACUGAAACAUCUAAGUACCCCGAGGAAAAGAAAUCAACCGAGAUUCCCCCAGUAGCGGCGAGCGAACGGGGAGGAGCCCAGAGCCUGAAUCAGCAUGUGUGUUAGUGGAAGCGUCUGGAAAGGCGCGCGAUACAGGGUGACAGCCCCGUACACAAAAGCGCAUGUGCUGUGAGCUCGAUGAGUAGGGCGGGACACGUGGUAUCCUGUCUGAAUAUGGGGGGACCAUCCUCCAAGGCUAAAUACUCCUGACUGACCGAUAGUGAACCAGUACCGUGAGGGAAAGGCGAAAAGAACCCCGGCGAGGGGAGUGAAAAAGAACCUGAAACCGUGUACGUACAAGCAGUGGGAGCACCCUUUGGGUGUGACUGCGUACCUUUUGUAUAAUGGGUCAGCGACUUAUAUUCUGUAGCAAGGUUAACCGAAUAGGGGAGCCGGAGGGAAACCGAGUCUUAACCGGGCGUUAAGUUGCAGGGUAUAGACCCGAAACCCGGUGAUCUAGCCAUGGGCAGGUUGAAGGUUGGGUAACACUAACUGGAGGACCGAACCGACUAAUGUUGAAAAAUUAGCGGAUGACCUGUGGCUGGGGGUGAAAGGCCAAUCAAACCGGGAGAUAGCUGGUUCUCCCCGAAAGCUAUUUAGGUAGCGCCUCGUGAAUUCAUCUCCGGGGGUAGAGCACUGUUUCGGCUAGGGGGCCAUCCCGGCUUACCAACCCGAUGCAAACUGCGAAUACCGGAGAAUGUUAUCACGGGAGACACACGGCGGGUGCUAACGUCCGUCGUGAAGAGGGAAACAACCCAGACCGCCAGCUAAGGUCCCAAAGUCAUGGUUAAGUGGGAAACGAUGUGGGAAGGCCCAGACAGCCAGGAUGUUGGCUUAGAAGCAGCCAUCAUUUAAAGAAAGCGUAAUAGCUCACUGGUCGAGUCGGCCUGCGCGGAAGAUGUAACGGGGCUAAACCAUGCACCGAAGCUGCGGCAGCGACACUGUGUGUUGUUGGGUAGGGGAGCGUUCUGUAAGCCUGUGAAGGUGUGUCGUGAGGCAUGCUGGAGGUAUCAGAAGUGCGAAUGCUGACAUAAGUAACGAUAAAGCGGGUGAAAAGCCCGCUCGCCGGAAGACCAAGGGUUCCUGUCCAACGUUAAUCGGGGCAGGGUGAGUCGACCCCUAAGGCGAGGCCGAAAGGCGUAGUCGAUGGGAAACGGGUUAAUAUUCCCGUACUUGGUGUUACUGCGAAGGGGGGACGGAGAAGGCUAUGUUGGCCGGGCGACGGUUGUCCCGGUUUAAGCGUGUAGGUGUGUGUUCCAGGUAAAUCCGGUUCACUUUAACACUGAGGCGUGACGACGAGGCACUACGGUGCUGAAGCAACAAAUGCCCUGCUUCCAGGAAAAGCCUCUAAGCAUCAGGUAACAUCAAAUCGUACCCCAAACCGACACAGGUGGUCAGGUAGAGAAUACCAAGGCGCUUGAGAGAACUCGGGUGAAGGAACUAGGCAAAAUGGUGCCGUAACUUCGGGAGAAGGCACGCUGACACGUAGGUGAAGUGAUUUACUCAUGGAGCUGAAGUCAGUCGAAGAUACCAGCUGGCUGCAACUGUUUAUUAAAAACACAGCACUGUGCAAACACGAAAGUGGACGUAUACGGUGUGACGCCUGCCCGGUGCCGGAAGGUUAAUUGAUGGGGUCAGCGCAAGCGAAGCUCCUGAUCGAAGCCCCGGUAAACGGCGGCCGUAACUAUAACGGUCCUAAGGUAGCGAAAUUCCUUGUCGGGUAAGUUCCGACCUGCACGAAUGGCGUAAUGAUGGCCAGGCUGUCUCCACCCGAGACUCAGUGAAAUUGAACUCGCUGUGAAGAUGCAGUGUACCCGCGGCAAGACGGAAAGACCCCGUGAACCUUUACUAUAGCUUGACACUGAACAUUGAGCCUUGAUGUGUAGGAUAGGUGGGAGGCUUUGAAGUGUGGACGCCAGUCUGCAUGGAGCCGACCUUGAAAUACCACCCUUUAAUGUUUGAUGUUCUAACGUGGACCCGUUACCCGGGUUGCGGACAGUGUCUGGUGGGUAGUUUGACUGGGGCGGUCUCCUCCUAAAGAGUAACGGAGGAGCACGAAGGUUGGCUAAUCCUGGUCGGACAUCAGGAGGUUAGUGCAAUGGCAUAAGCCAGCUUGACUGCGAGCGUGACGGCGCGAGCAGGUGCGAAAGCAGGUCAUAGUGAUCCGGUGGUUCUGAAUGGAAGGGCCAUCGCUCAACGGAUAAAAGGUACUCCGGGGAUAACAGGCUGAUACCGCCCAAGAGUUCAUAUCGACGGCGGUGUUUGGCACCUCGAUGUCGGCUCAUCACAUCCUGGGGCUGAAGUAGGUCCCAAGGGUAUGGCUGUUCGCCAUUUAAAGUGGUACGCGAGCUGGGUUUAGAACGUCGUGAGACAGUUCGGUCCCUAUCUGCCGUGGGCGCUGGAGAACUGAGGGGGGCUGCUCCUAGUACGAGAGGACCGGAGUGGACGCAUCACUGGUGUUCGGGUUGUCAUGCCAAUGGCACUGCCCGGUAGCUAAAUGCGGAAGAGAUAAGUGCUGAAAGCAUCUAAGCACGAAACUUGCCCCGAGAUGAGUUCUCCCUGAGACUUAAAGUCUCCUGAAGGAACGUUGAAGACGACGACGUUGAUAGGCCGGGUGUGUAAGCGCAGCGAUGCGUUGAGCUAAC
rnacentral:rRNA from 1 species